UACGUAGGGUGCAAGCGUUAAUCGGAAUUACUGGGCGUAAAGCGUGCGCAGGCGGUCCGUUAAGACAGAGUGGAAAUCCCCGGGCUUAACCUGGGAACUGCAUUUGUGACUGGCGGACUCGAGUAUGGCAGAGGGGGGUAGAAUUCCACGUGUAGCAGUGAAAUGCGUAGAGAUGUGGAGGAAUACCGAUGGCGAAGGCAGCCCCCUGGGCCAAUACUGACGCUCAUGCACGAAAGCGUGGGGAGCAAACAGG
rnacentral:rRNA from 1 species